ensembl:lncRNA
AGCAGAGAUGAACAGCAAGCUGCUCACCAUGCUGACAGCACUUCCCUGUGUGUUUUACUUCAUCAUGAAAUCCAAAUUUGGUGCUGAAGUGCCCAUCUAAGCUCACUCACUUGCCUCUUUAAGACAAGAAGAUAUCCAUGGCUGGAAUGACUUGGGAAUUUGAUAAAAUCAAUUAAGAAUGUCUAUAGAUGGAAAAAACAAAACUCCAUAGUGAUUAGAGGCAAAGGAUGGUCAGCAAAUCAUUGUUUCUGGCUGGUAGGUGAUAUUUCUUCUAUUCCUUAAGCCUAUUUAGUGAAGCUUUACAUAUUGGAAGACUGUUUUCAUCACCAAAAGAAAACUCGGGGGCCGUGUACCUGUGACUAUCCUCUGACCACAUCCCUGGCACCAUCUGUUGUGUGUUUAGACCUCUGCUAGCCAGGCAAACCAUUGAAGAUGUCUGUGACCCAGCUGUGGAGGAGAAAGCAGCCAUUUUUGCCACUCACCCUUCCCUGCCUUCCUCCACCAAAGUUCCAGUCAGCACCACCACCUGAUCCCUGUGGUCCCAAAUGCCACACUUCUGAGAUUAACCUUACUGACUACAGCUAGAACAAGAGUUGUCUAUUGGAGGCAAUAAUUCAACAAUCCAAAUUCUUCAUGCUCCUCUCUAUAUUUGUCAUUUAGGAAGUGACUGGUUUACAGUUAGGAGCUUUAAGGACACGAUUCUUUGUUAUUUAGUUCUGCACAAAGUAAUAUGCUAAGUCUUCCACCAACACAAAAUGACAACCAACAUGAAGAGAUAAACCAAUGGCACCAACAAUAGAAACUCACCUACAUCAUGGAGUGAACAAGGUGAGAGGCCUUCAGUGCAGAUGAGCAAUCCUUUAAUUUAAAUCAUCUUUUUUCAGUAGCUGGAAGCUGACUGCAAUUGAAUAAUAGAACUAACACAGAGUUUCAGAAUCAUGGUGUGCCACUGCUGCUGGAUCCCUUUAAGCAAAAAAUCAUGGUGAAGAACACCAGGGAACUUCCAAUCUCCAGAUGUCUAUUUAUCCACAAAAGGAUAUAGGAUCUGGCUCAGAAUAAUAAGUCCGAAGCC